rnacentral:rRNA from 1 species
GACAGAGGAUGCAAACGUUGCUCGGAUUUACUGGGCGUAAAGCGCGCGCAGGCGGUCCUGUAAGUCGAGUGUGAAAUCCCGGGGCUCAACCUCGGACGUGCACUCGAUACUGCGGGACUGGAGUACUGGAGAGGAGAGCGGAAUUCCCGGUGUAGAGGUGAAAUUCGUAGAUAUCGGGAGGAACACCAGUGGCGAAGGCGGCUCUCUGGACAGAUACUGACGCUGAGGCGCGAAAGCGUGGGGAGCAAACAGG